AGUAGGGAAAGGGCCCAGAGUUGGAGGCAAACUGAGGAAUUAUCAGGCAGUGGAGAAGGGUAGGCUGAUGCUUCAAGAGAGAGGAACCCAACAAUUCAUACUGAUGUUUUGAACCCCUUUUUGUUAAUUAUCUGUCAGCAAAUGCUGCAUAGGUCUGAGUAUAUAAUUUAGAAGCUCACAAUUUCUUUUUAAAAAAUAAUAACCUAAAUAGAAUUUGAAAGAUCACCACUAAUUCUGUUUCAGAAAACAACAGAGGCACACAAAGAUUGGAUAUGUUCUAAAUAAUCUGAAAACAGGGACAGUAGUAUGGGAGUAGGAAGAGCAAGUUGUACAUGCACCUACCUUCAGGACAAUUUAUAAAUUAUCAGAAUAAUUUUAGAAGUUUCAGCCCCUGGUAACAUGAUUCCUUCACCCAUCUCCAGUCUGUGUCUCUUAAAAUUUGCUCCAAAAAUAGUGAAUCUCCUAAAGCUACCCAGGCCCAUCAUAUAGUUAGACUCCCCUACCUGGAAUACCUGCUCAUGAUUAACCAGCACUUAUUCUUUUAUCUAGGUUCCAGAGUUAACUUUCUUAUUUUAUUAAUCAGAUGCAAGCCUCCUAAUUAGCAUGGUGCUUCUUGUUUUCUAAGCUACUGCUAAUGAAUAUGGAGAUGCUUCUCAACUUACAUUGGAGUUACAUUCCAAUAAACCCAUCAUAAGUUAAAGAUACUGUAAAUUGAAAAUUUAAUACACCUAACCUUUGGACACCUUAGCUUAACCUAUCCUACUUUAAAUGUGCUCAGAGUACUUGCAUUAGCCUGCAGUUAGAAAUCUCUUAACACAAAAUCAAUUUUAUAUUAAAACACUGAAUAUUUUAUAUAAUUUAUUGAAUACUGCACAGAAAGUAAAAUUAGAAGAGCC
rnacentral:lncRNA from 1 species